rnacentral:rRNA from 1 species
UACGUAGGGGGCGAGCGUUGUCCGGAAUUAUUGGGCGUAAAGAGCGUGUAGGCUGUUCGGUAAGUCUGCCGUGAAAACCUGAGGCUCAACCUCGGGCGUGCGGUGGAUACUGCCGGGCUAGAGGACGGUAGAGGCGAGUGGAAUUCCCGGUGUAGCGGUGAAAUGCGCAGAUAUCGGGAGGAACACCGACGGCGAAGGCAGCUCGCUGGGACGGUACUGACGCUGAGGAGCGAAAGCCAGGGGAGCAAACGGGAUUAGAAACCCUUGUAGU